rnacentral:rRNA from 1 species
CCUACGGGGGGCUGCAGUGGGGAAUAUUGCACAAUGGGCGCAAGCCUGAUGCAGCCAUGCCGCGUGUGUGAAGAAGGCCUUCGGGUUGUAAAGCACUUUCAGCGGGGAGGAAGGCGUUAAGGUUAAUAACCUUGUCGAUUGACGUUACCCGCAGAAGAAGCACCGGCUAACUCCGUGCCAGCAGCCGCGGUAAUACGGAGGGUGCAAGCGUUAAUCGGAAUUACUGGGCGUAAAGCGCACGCAGGCGGUCUGUCAAGUCGGAUGUGAAAUCCCCGGGCUCAACCGGGGAACUGCAUUCGAAACUGGCAGGCUAGAGUCUUGUAGAGGGGGGUAGAAUUCCAGGUGUAGCGGUGAAAUGCGUAGAGAUCUGGAGGAAUACCGGUGGCGAAGGCGGCCCCCUGGACAAAGACUGACGCGCAGGUGCGAAAGCGUGGGGAGCAAACAGGAUAGAUACCCGAGUAGUC